AGUGAACGCUGGCGGUAGGCCUAACACAUGCAAGUCGAACGGCAGCACAGUAAGAGCUUGCUCUUACGGGUGGCGAGUGGCGGACGGGUGAGGAAUACAUCGGAAUCUACUUUUUCGUGGGGGAUAACGUAGGGAAACUACGCUAAUACCGCAUACGACCUACGGGUGAAAGCAGGGGAUCUUCGGACCUUGCGCGAUUGAAUGAGCCGAUGUCGGAUUAGCUAGUUGGCGGGGUAAAGGCCCACCAAGGCGACGAUCCGUAGCUGGUCUGAGAGGAUGAUCAGCCACACUGGAACUGAGACACGGUCCAUACUCCUACGGGAGGCAGCAGUGGGGAAUAUUGGACAAUGGGCGCAAGCCUUAUCCAGCCAUACCGCGUGGGUGAAGAAGGCCUUCGGGUUGUAAAGCCCUUUUGUUGGGAAAGAAAAGCAGCAGGUUAAUACCCCGCUGUUCUGACGGUACCCAAAGAAUAAGCACCGGCUAACUUCGUG
rnacentral:rRNA from 1 species